UACGGAGGGUGCAAGCGUUAUCCGGAUUCACUGGGUUUAAAGGGUGCGUAGGCGGGCAGGUAAGUCAGUGGUGAAAAUCUCCGAGCUUAACUCGGAAACUGCCGUUGAUACUAUUUGUCUUGAAUAUUGUGGAGGUAAGCGGAAUAUGUCAUGUAGCGGUGAAAUGCUUAGAUAUGACAUAGAAACACCAAUUGCGAAGGCAGCUUACUACACAACGAUUGACGCUGAGGCACGAAAAGCGUGGGGGAUCAAAACAGG
rnacentral:rRNA from 1 species